UCAAUUUUUAUCUUGUUUUAGCUUUUGCUUUGUGUGGCUUGAUACUAUUAUUUAAUGCAGAUACUUGUGUCUGUUAAGUACAGUUUAUAAGGAAGACUUGCUAGUCUGUAAAGUUAUUCUUUUUGUCCUAUUUAUGUUUUUUUUUGCCUUGAAUUUGACUUCUUGAAUACUAGAAUAUUUCUGUCCUCUUUUUGUUUAUAUUUGCUUGAUAAAUUAAUUUUUACCCUUUUAUUUAUAAUGAUAUACUUUUUAGUUGUCUUUCACACAGCAUGUCUUUUUAUAUUUCAGCACAUUUGGAGAGUCUGCAUUUUAUUAGGAGAGUCUAAUCCAUUUGCUUUUGUUAGUUUCUCAUUUUGGUCUUCUGUGAUCAUGUUUUAUGCUUUCUCACUGAUUUCUCUUAUUUCCUAAAAAAGACUGUAAUUUUCUGGCUUUAAUUUUCUUAUUGAUUUGAUUUAGAAAAUACACUUCUUUUUUUUAAAUCUUCACCUGAGGAUAUAUGCUUUUGUUGAUUUGAGAGAGAGAGAGAGAAGGAGAGUGAGAAACAUUAAUGUGAGAGAAAUACCAAUUGGUUGCCUUCCUUAUACACCCUGACCAGGAAUCGAACCCACAACCUUUCCGUGUAUGGGAUGAUGCGUCAACCAACUCAGCCACACCAUUGUAUGCCCUCUUUUAAACUUUACAGGUGAUUAAGGUACCAUUUAGGGUUCAAGACUAUUCAGGAGAAAGAAAGCCUACCUGAAUUUGAACAGGGAGAAUUCAGUAUGAAGAAUUAGUAACUAGUAAUGGGAUUGAUUUACCAGAAAGAGAGGCCCGUCCAUCUCUAAAAAGUGCAGGAUGAGCGGCCGCAGGGAGCAGCCGCUGCUUGUAGACUGAGGGGAGGACCCGAGGAAGGGACAGGCUUGGACGAGCCUUGCCCUGCCCGCAGGCUGAGCUCGGUCUCAUUGAAGGCGAUGUGUGGCCCGCUGGAUGCAACGUGCUGAGGUGCCACCGGCAGGUGACAGAUGGGGCCAGGGAAACUAGGCAGUCAUGGGUUGGGGUGCCAGUGCACGUGAGAAAGCUGCCUCUGGGGCCUGCACACCUGGAGAACGUGCACCACGGCUUUCACCGGGCGCCGCCAGACAGGCAUGUGCUGACGGUGGCUCAGCAGCAGCACGAGGGAAAGGCUCUGGAACAGGAGACCGAGGCCCCUUUCCACCUGCAGUGUCCCUCCGGUGCCACCAAGUACUGUGUCCACUGGCAAAUGAGACAGUUUGUGGGUGGCUUUGCAGCUGGCCUAAUAAUCACUGUUUUCCAAAAUCAUACUCAAGCCUGUAUUUUUUCUUAGCGGCUGACUAAGGAAUGAACCCGUUGUCUGGAUCACUUUAAUUCCAUUAGCAGCUCCUUUAUGCCAUGGUAAGGGGACUCUCUAUUUUUAGUAUGGGGAAUCUCCAGGGUAUGCGUGCUCGUUCACCAUUCAUCUGCUUGUUUUCCCUGUGGCCAGUCGUUGGGUUUGGAUCCAAGCUUUUCCUCUCUCUUCCCAGCCUCUUGUGCUCAGGGCAGUCCUUGGAAGUGUUUCUUGUUCUUCCCUUCCCUACAAGCCUACACUAUUUUUUUGGGUCCCCUUUAUUCCACAUUUUCAGCCAAAGAUAAAACAAGGGACAACAUUCAACAAUAUUCUUUCUUUAAAAAAGUUUAUUUUUAUCAGUAAUAUGUGCAUGUGUUUUACAAAUUAAGUUCUGGGAUGAUGGUGAUGGCUAGAAUAUAGCAACCAAAAAAAACCCGGACAACAUUUACAACAUAACUAGAUGACAAGCUGUUCAUCCCCAUGAACUCCAAAAUAUGUGUGCUGUGGAUAAACCACCAAGAGG